rnacentral:rRNA from 1 species
GAUGAACGCUGGCGGCGUGCCUAAUACAUGCAAGUCGAGCGAACGGACGAGAAGCUUGCUUCUCUGAUGUUAGCGGCGGACGGGUGAGUAAAACGUGGAUAACCUACCUAUAAGACUGGGAUAACUUCGGGAAACCGGAGCUAAUACCGGAUAAUAUUUUGAACCGCAUGGUUCAAAAGUGAAAGACGGUCUUGCUGUCACUUAUAGAUGGAUCCGCGCUGCAUUAGCUAGUUUGUAAGGUAACGGGUUACCAAGGCAACGAUGCAUAGCCGACCUGAGAGGGUGAUCGGCCACACUGGAACUGAGACACGGUCCAGACUCCUACGGGAGGCAGCAGUAGGGUAUCUUCCGCAAUGGGCGAAAGCCUGACGGAGCAACGCCGCGUGAGUGAUGAAGGUCUUCGGAUCGUAAAACUCUGUUAUUAGGGAAGAACAUAUGUGUAAGUAACUGUGCACAUCUUGACGGUACCUAAUCAGAAAGCCACGGCUAACUACGUG